UGGGGAAUAUUGCACAAUGGGCGCAAGCCUGAUGCAGCCAUGCCGCGUGUAUGAAGAAGGCCUUCGGGUUGUAAAGUACUUUCAGCGGGGAGGAAGGUGUUGCGGUUAAUAACCGCAGCAAUUGACGUUACCCGCAGAAGAAGCACCGGCUAACUCCGUG
rnacentral:rRNA from 2 species